rnacentral:misc_RNA from 1 species
UUCCAUUUCGCGGCCCUGAAA